UACAGAGGUCCCAAGCGUUGUUCGGAUUCACUGGGCGUAAAGGGUGCGUAGGCGGUUCGGGUAAGUCUGAUGUGAAAUCUACACAGGCUUAACCUGUGAACUGCAUUGGAUACUAUCCGGCUCGAGGAAUGGAGGGGAGACUGGAAUACGUUGGUGUAGCAGUGAAAUGCGUAGAUAUCAAGUGGAACACCAGUGGCGAAGGCGAGUCUCGUGGACAUUUCCUGACGCUGAGGCACGAAAGCCAGGGAGCAAACGGG
rnacentral:rRNA from 1 species